rnacentral:misc_RNA from 1 species
CCUUUCCUUUGUAUAUCCUGAUGAAGACCAAUAAAAAAAUUUUCAGUAAAAGAAUACCAAAUAAAAAAAUUACGCAAUUCUUCAAUCAUAUUAAAACCCAAAGAUGACUUCAACCUAAGCCUUGUAAUCCAAUACACUGUAAGGGAACACUUUUCACUACGUAAAUUGAAUUUUAGAGAGUACUUAAGCCCUCCUCCUUGAAAACUGUGUAAAAUGAAAACCCCAAUCACUGAAUGCCAGUUAACUGAACCAUUAAUCCAAUGCUCGAACAUAUGACAUUUCAGGCGACUAAAAUAACACUCGUCAACUAUCCCAGAUGCUCAUUUACGACUUUUUCAAAUGUCAGAGCACACCAAACGUAACAGAACUGCUUCAAGCACAGUUUGUUUUAAAAAUUCCAUCUUUCGGUUAAAUUUCCUACUUGAAUUAUUGUAAAAAGUUAAACUAAUUAUGAAUUGAACAAAGCCAAAUUAAGCAUUUUCUUAAGAAGACGAUCAAUUUGACUUGAAAAUGCUUGCAAUUUUCAUGUAAAACAAAAAACCCGUUCAAUCAGAGACUAAUCACAAUUUAAUAUGCAGAUUAAAAAGGCAAGUAAGCAAUACAUUGGUAAAAUUAACAACUAAAAAUCAAAUAUGAAAAAGAAAUCCAAAUGGAUCAUUUAGGACUCACUAUCAGCGGCAGAGGUCUUGAGCUGUUCAAGGGCGGACAAACUU